AGUGGUGUAGUUCAGUUGGUAGAACAGUAGACCGAUAAUCUACGUGUCACAGGUUCGAGUCCUGUCACCACUACCA
rnacentral:tRNA from 1 species